rnacentral:rRNA from 1 species
UUUGCUUACAAGGUUGACCUCGGA